UUUUGGAAUCUGGAGAGAAUGGGGACGCUCGACAGGCUGCUCCAGGAGGAAAUCCAGGGCGAGGCGCGGCUCCUCGAUGAUCCCGUACAGGACGGCGACGAGGAGAGCGCGCAGGUCGGGAGGAUCAUUUACAAGGCUUCAUUCGAGGAGAUGGAGGACCGAUUUGUGAACUACGACUCUGUCCAAUGGUGCUUGAUCUCGCUGCUGCUAGUUCUUGCUUGGGGAGCGGGAAUUCUUAUGCUUCUCUACUUGCCCGUGAGGAGAUCCAUCAUGAGGAGCGAUUUUAGAUCACGAAAGCUCUAUGUGACCGACAAUGCGAUUGUCUACAAGGUCUCGAGACCAGCUUGGUUUCCAUGUUUUGGAGUGAAUCGAACGGAAAAAUGCCUGAUGCUACCUCUCGUGACUGACGUUGUCAUCGAGCAAGGUUUCGUUUUUCUUCUUUAUUUUCAUUCUAGGAUAGAGCUUCCGGCUUGUUGGAUUUUUCAAACCUUUCAAACUAAGUUCUCGGUGCGUGGUUUAGACAGUGUGAUUCCCGUUCACUUUCUUCGCAGGAUGCAUGCAAUCGGCUUUCAACCUUUCAUCUCUAAGGAUCGAAAUUGCCGGGAGAUCCAAGCCUUCUCCGAGCGACGACGUGCAGAUUCAAGGACUGGCAAAUCCUACGCUCUUCCGAAAAUUUGAAGCCUCUGCCUCGUCUCAAUGAUCACGACGUGGAAGACCUUCCUGUCCAGCCUUCCUUGAGCAAAUCGAGUGCUUGGACUUGGGGCCAAGGCACUGGAUUGUCUUCCUGGCAGAUGGGCUAUUUGCCUCUCAAAGAAGAAGCUGGCUAUAGCUACAGUGACAACAGCAGCGAGAAGCUCUUCGAGAAGCUUGAGGACAUAAGAAACUCUCUCAAGAGAAUAGAAGUUCUCGUUGAAGCUCAACAGCAAUCACCAAAGCGUUGAACGAAACGUACGAGGAUUUGGAAUCCAUGUUAUGUGUAUAGAACAAAUUGGAUCCGUGGCGCAAUGUUAUGUUCAUGUAAGUAAAUGAAAAGUUAAAACUGAUUUCUUCUCA